rnacentral:rRNA from 1 species
GACGAACGCUGGCGGCGUGCUUAACACAUGCAAGUCGAACGAUGAAGCCCUUCGGGGUGGAUUAGUGGCGAACGGGUGAGUAACACGUGGGCAAUCUGCCCUGCACUCUGGGACAAGCCCUGGAAACGGGGUCUAAUACCGGAUAUGACACCGGGAGGCAUCUCCUCGGUGUGGAAAGCUCCGGCGGUGCAGGAUGAGCCCGCGGCCUAUCAGCUUGUUGGUGAGGUAGUGGCUCACCAAGGCGACGACGGGUAGCCGGCCUGAGAGGGCGACCGGCCACACUGGGACUGAGACACGGCCCAGACUCCUACGGGAGGCAGCAGUGGGGAAUAUUGCACAAUGGGCGAAAGCCUGAUGCAGCGACGCCGCGUGAGGGAUGACGGCCUUCGGGUUGUAAACCUCUGUCAGCAGGGAAGAAGCGAAAGUGACGGUACCUGCAGAAGAAGCGCCGGCUAACUACGUGCCAGCAGCCGCGGUAAUACGUAGGGCGCGAGCGUUGUCCGGAAUUAUUGGGCGUAAAGAGCUUGUAGGCGGCUUGUCACGUCGGGUGUGAAAGACCGGGGCUUAACUCCGGUUCUGCAUUCGAUACGGGCUAGCUAGAGUUCGGUAGGGGAGAUCGGAAUUCCUGGU